rnacentral:rRNA from 1 species
GUCUGAUGUGAAAGCCCACGGCUCAACCGUGGAGGGUCAUUGGAAACUGGAAAACUUGAGUGCAGAAGAGGAAAGUGGAAUUCCAUGUGUAGCGGUGAAAUGCGCAGAGAUAUGGAGGAACACCAGUGGCGAAGGCGACUUUCUGGUCUGUAACUGACGCUGAUGUGCGAAAGCGUGGGGAUCAAACAGGAUUAGAUACCCUGGUAGUCCACGCCGUAAACGAUGAGUGCUAAGUGUUAGGGGGUUUCCGCCCCUUAGUGCUGCAGCUAACGCAUUAAGCACUCCGCCUGGGGAGUACGACCGCAAGGUUGAAACUCAAAGGAAUUGACGGGGACCCGCACAAGCCGGUGGAGCAUGUGGUUUAAUUCGAAGCAACGCGAAGAACCUUACCAAAUCUUGACAUCCUUUGACCGCUCUAGAGAUAGAGUCUUCCCCUUCGGGGGACAAAGUGACAGGUGGUGCAUGGUUGUCGUCAGCUCGUGUCGUGAGAUGUUGGGUUAAGUCCCGCAACGAGCGCAACCCUUAAGCUUAGUUGCCAUCAUUAAGUUGGGCACUCUAAGUUGACUGCCGGUGACAAACCGGAGGAAGGUGGGGAUGACGUCAAAUCAUCAUGCCCCUUAUGAUUUGGGCUACACACGUGCUACAAUGGACAAUACAAAGGGCAGCUAAACCGCGAGGUCAAGCAAAUCCCAUAAAGUUGUUCUCAGUUCGGAUUGUAGUCUGCAACUCGACUACA